rnacentral:rRNA from 1 species
GCAAGCGCGAUAUGUGGUAUGAUCUGCAGAACCACACGAUUACCCAAUCUUUGAACGCAAACGGCGCAUGGGAGCAGCCCCUCGGGGUCAUCCCCGUGCAUGCCGCAGUCUCAGUGUCGAACCAAAAACACGCCGCCGCGCGCCUCGUCCCGCAGCAGCGCAACAAAAGAGCCUGGCACACCCUCAAAAGGGAAAAAGAGAGCACGCGCGGCACAACGCCCGCAGCUCCGCCAGCGAUCACACGCAACGCAUGCACGCACGCCUCUGCACACACGUGUACACACACGUGUUGUACGCAUGCUGCACGCACGCGCACGCAACGAGAGAGGCACGUCACGCGCGCACCUUCCCGUUUGUUUGUUCACAGACCUGAGUGCGGCAGGACCACCCGCUAAACUUAAGCAUAUUACUCAGCGGAGGAAAAGAAAACAACCGUGAUUCCCUCAGUCAGCGGCGAGCGAACAGGGACACAACUCGCUGCCGAAUCGCGCCUCAAGGGCGCCGACCUGUGGCACGCAACGCGGCGCACGGCUGGCAGCGGCGCGGCGCAAUUCAAGCGCAAAGCAAACCCGUUGCUGGCCACACCCCUUCAUGUGAGUAUUGAGCCAGGGAAGGUGAGAGCCCACUCCACCGCCGCUCACCGCCGCCACCGCGCGCCGCCCACCGAGUAGCACUGCUUGGGAGUGCAGUGUCAAGCGGCAGGUAUUUGCCUGCCAAGGUUAAACACAGAGCGGGAAGACCGAUAGCGAACAAGUAGCGUGAGCGAAAGUUUGAAAAGCACUUUGGAAAGAGAGUGACAUAGAACCUGAAAUCGCGACAACGACAAUGGAAGCGCCUCCCUCACACCGGCCAGCCCCGCGCCCCCACCCCACUCUCUGUGCCAGCACCUCCGCGCGGGGCUCCAUCCGCGCGGCCGCCUGCACACCCGGGGCGCGGGCGAGCUUGCGGAGCGUCGGGCGCGUCGUUGUGCGGCGUGCCCGCUCCGCGCCCUCUCGGCGCUGGCGACGGCGACGGGGCGCCCCCACCCGUCUUGAAACACGGACCAAGGAGUCAAACAGACGCGCAAGGGCAGAGGCACCCCUCAGUCCUCUCCGCCCGCACUGAAAGGGAGACGCGCUCCGCGUCCGUGGCGCGCGCACGCGUGCUCAGCGCCGGCCGGCCCCUCGCGGGCUGCGCUCGAGUGUGCCUGUUUGGACCCGAAAGGUGGUGAACUAUGCCUGAACAAGGCGAAGCCCGGGGAAACCCGGGUGGAGGCCUGUAGCGAUGCUGACGUGCAAAUCGCUCGUACGAUUUGGGUAUCGGAGCGAAAGACUCAUCGAACCACCUAGUAGCUGGUUCACGUCGAAGUUUCCCUCAGGAUAGCUGGUGCUCGCCGUGAAGUACUGUGCGGUAAAGCAAAUGAUUAGAGGCAUUGGUGUUCUUGCAGCAUCGACCUAUUCUCAAACUUUAAAUGUGCAGCGCGCGCGCCCUUCGCCCGCCGCAAGGGCGCGCCUCGGCAGAGUUAUUGGGGCACCAAGUGGGCCUUCUUCGGUAAGCGGAGCAGGCGAUGCGGAAUGAACCGCUUAGGGAUAUGUGGCGUCCAAGCUUCCGGGCUCAUUCUCGAUACGUGAAAAGGGUGUUGGUGGAUAGGGACAGUUGGACGGUGGCCAUGGAAGUCGGCAUCCGCUAAGGAGUGUGUAACAACUCACCAACCGAAUCCACCGGCCCCGAAAAUGGAUGACGCUCAAGCCCGACACGCGAUGGCCCAUUAUUCCUUUGGAGGGGCGGAGGCUCGGGAACGCGCGGCCCCUCCAAUGUAGACGUGGCGUGGGGGUCAGGCCGAAGCCGAUGGCGCGAGCCGCGGUGCACCGGCCCCCAGUGCAGAUCUUGGUUGGCGUAGCAAUGAUCCAACGGCACUCACACGCACACAACGUUGGAUGCUGGAGCGGGGAAGGAUUUCGUGCCAACGGCACUCGCACACGAGUUGUUCGGACACUGAGCACAGCGUUACACCGUUUUGUUGGGAAAGCGCGGGUGCGCCGCCGCCGUCCUCCCUUGGGCGCGCGCGCGGCCAUUCCGCGAAGGGGCAACAGAGAACCUGGGAUGACAUUCCGUAAAGAAAUUGCAUGUGGGACACCUUUAUAUCUUUCGUGGAGACGCAACGCACUCGCCAGGUGACGAAUCAAUCCUCCCACGGUGAGCUUUCUUUUCACCAUAAUCCACGUCUCCGGCACCGCUGGGGCUUGGGCCCGCGACUUGCCGCGUUGCUCGGAGCACGGGCCCAAGAUUGACAAAUGCAGCUCACCCUCCGUACUGUCCUUGUUGUGAGUUCUGGCGCG